AUUCUUUCAUUUUAGGAGCUUUUUGGAUGAAUAGAUAUUUUCCCGAGAAAGAAGUCUAAGAUUUAUCAAUGACUUCACUGUGGAUCCCUACAUCUCUCUAUUCUCAAAUGAAGCAACUGGGGAAACUCCCCCAGAAGAAAGUGAUUCGAGAUUCCUGUUGGUUUUCUGAUGAGCCUCACUCCUUUCUACAAGGCAGUCAGGGAAGGAUGGGCACUGGCUACCUUCUCAGCAAAUGUGAGGAUUAUAUGGGUCAUCACGUUACUCCAAUAGACAAAGAAAGAAAGAGGAAGUAGCUGCUUUCAGUACAGAAGAACAUGAAGACUGUGCUGCGUAACAUAUAAAUGCAGAAAAGAUCAAAAAGACUGUUUUAGUUGAAUGUGGCAGUUCUGUCACUGAAUGGUACUGGCCACAUCCAGUCUUGAUUAGUUCAUUUCAUAGUAGAGAGUCGUGAACAAAUGGGUUGAAUAAAAUGCUUCUGGCACUAUGUUCCUUAGAGUUGUAGUCUGACAGAGCUGUGCUGUGUGUUCACCUGGUUUUGUAGUGAGUUCAUGCUCAGCAGCACCUGCUUGGAGAUUCUUCCUGGCAAUCUUGGACACUUUCAUGAUUAGAGAAUUAUUCUACAUCGUUUAAUCUUGGCUAUUUAGAUCUGUUUUCCUAGGGACAAAGACAGCAUGGCAGAAUUUGACUUGCAUAUGAUCUCUUCAAGACCUUUCAGAUGUUUCAAGAUUUGCAACGUUAUUGCCUUUUGAGGUACAAUUUCUCCCUCUCCUUGGAACCAGAGAGUUGGAACGUUAAAGUUUUGGGGUUUUCUUUAAGAUGGUAGGGCACAUUUCAAAUUAUUUAAUAUGAAGUAAAACAUUAUUGCCCUCGCCUAAAGAAGGAAGGCAGUACAAUUAUCCCAGUUUUAUAAGUAAUCAAAUAUACUUAGCUGUCAGAUGAACCCAGCUCGUUUCCAAAAGUGAGGCAAGCAGACUGUGAAAGAGCCAUCUAAAUGCAUACAGUAAGUUCUUCAAGUAUAACUAUCUUUUCCAGUCCUUUAUCUUGAUUCUCUGUGCAGAAACAAUUGACUCCUGGAAUGUAUUAUAUGGAUAUAGCAUGUUCUAUAUAGACAAGGAGAGUUUAAAUGAAUAAAAUAUAAAUGAAGACUGUAUUGCAGAAGAAAUUAAGAAACCUGUUGCUCACCAUCACACAAAGGAGAUAUGAAGAACAGAAUCUAUAAAAAGGCAUAGAUCAUUUAAUGAAAAUGAGAGCGGACAUUGGUAGCGUUCAUUCUUUACUAAUAUCACCCAAAGAAUCUUAUUGUUCCUGAAAGAUUCCUAUAAUGGAGAGAGAAUGAAUAUCAUAGAAUCAUAGAAUGGUUCUGGUUGGAAAGGACCUUAAGAUCAUCUAGUUCCAAUCCCCCUGCCAUGGGCAGGAACACCUGACACUAGAGGCCUGGCCUUGAGUACUGCCAGGGAUGGAGCAUUUGCCACGUCUUUGGACAACCUGUUCCAGUUCCUCACCACGCGCACAGUAAAGAACUCCUUCUUUAUAUCUAACCUGAACCUUUCCCUAUUUAAAUUUAAAUCUUUUACACCUCUUGUCCUAUCGCUACAGUCCCUGAUGAAGAGUCUCUCCAGCAUCCUUGUAGGCCCCCUUCAGAUACUGGAAGGCUGCUAUGAGGUAUCCACUCAGCCUUCUCUUCUCCAGGCUGAACAGCCCCAACUCUCUCAGCCUGUCUUCAUACGGGAGGUGCUCCAGUCCCCUUACCGUCCUUGUGGCCCUCCUCUGGACCUGCUCCCAUAGCUCCAUGUCCUUCUUACACUGAGGACACCAGAACUGUACGCAAUACUCCAAGUGAGGUCUCACAAGAGCAGAGUAGAGGGGCAGGAAAACCUCCUUCGACCUGCUGGUCACACUUCUUUUGAUGCAGCCUUUUGAUGCAAGGGGAU
rnacentral:lncRNA from 1 species